rnacentral:tRNA from 1 species
GCCGAGGUAGCUCAGUGGUAGAGCGAAGGACUGAAAAUCCUUGCGUCGCGAGUUCAAUCCUCGCCCUCGGCACCA